rnacentral:tRNA from 2 species
GGUGCUUUAGCUCAGCUGGAUAGAGCAAUUGCCUUCUAAGCAAUAGGUCGGGAGUUCGAUUCUCUCAAGCAUCA